rnacentral:pre_miRNA from 7 species
UUCUUGCUGUGCGAAAUAACCAACAGAAGUGUAAGACCCCCUUUCGGGGACCCCCACUCUAGUCUCAGGAGUGAGAGAGCACCCAAAGAAACACGAGAAUCC